UUGACCUCGGAUCAGGUAGGGAUACCCGCUGAACUUAAGCAUAUCAAUAAGCGGAGGAAAAGAAACCAACAGGGAUUGCCUCAGUAACGGCGAGUGAAGCGGCAAGAGCUCAAAUUUGAAAGCUGGCCCCUUCGGGGUCCGCGUUGUAAUUUGCAGAGGAUGCUUCGGGUGCAGCCC
rnacentral:rRNA from 1 species